GAUGAACGCUGGCGGCGUGCUUAACACAUGCAAGUCGAACGGAAAGGCCUUGUUCUUGUGGCGUGCUCGAGUGUCGCACGUGAGAGUCUCACGUGAGUAACGUGCCCAUAACUUUGAGCUACUUCUAGGAACCCGGGGCCAAUACAGGAUAGGAGCUAAUGCUGCCUGGUGGGGGCUGGCGAGUUACGGCGGUUGUGGAUGGGCAAGAGGCUUAUCAGCUGGUUGUUGGUGAAGUGACCUACCAAGUCGUUGACGGGUAGCCGGCCGGAGAGGGUGACCGGCCACAAUGGGACUAAGAAGAGGCCCAGACGCCUACGGGAGGCAGCAGUAGUGAAUAUUUCACAGUAAGCGGAGGCCUGAUGCAGCAGCGCCGCGGGCGGGAUGAAGGCGGUCGAGUUGUAAACAGCUGUUUCCUGUGACGAAGAGGGAGUGACGGUAACUGGUAAAGAAGCACCGGCUAACUACGUG
rnacentral:rRNA from 1 species